AGCAAGUGAUCUGAUUUUCUAGCGGAGGAACGCAGUCAGAGAGAGAGGGAGUGCAGGCAAGUGUGAGAGAGAGCGAGAAAAAGAGAGAGGGGGAGAGAAAGAGACAGAGAGACAGAGAGGGGCUUCAGGUGCCAGUGCACUGAGAGCUGUGGAUGCUGCAGGACUUCACGUCAGCCCGGCCGCUGCACUUUGGGGUCCCGCGGUGGGGGAGAGCUGAGGUUGGACACAAGAAGACACAAAAAAGGCUAAAGAAUAGAGAUGGAGACUAAAAGCCAUCCAGGAGAGAGGUAGAGUCUGUGACUUCAGUGGCCUCUAAGGCAGAUAUAAUAUGAGCUACAGUGGAGUUGAGAGUUUAGAAGCAAAAGAAAGACAGACAUGCUACUGUGGCGUGGAGUGAGAAAAGGCAGUUAGAGGUGCUGACAGGAGAUGGUGCUUGGUGGGGGGUGCACAAUAACACAGAUCUGCAACAAAGGCUGCUGCUUCAGUCCAUGCGUUUUCAGACACUGCUGGGAGAAUGUGGGUCUAUCGGAUGAGUGCUCAAGACUGGGGUAUGCCCAGAGGAACUGAUUAAGAUGUGGGAAGAUUCGGCCCAGUGAUUCGUCACUGGAUUUGUCCCACGUCAAAAGAACAGACUGUGUUUCACCCUCUACUACAACUGUUAAAGCUGUUAAUUAUCUCCCUUCCCGUUUCUUUUCAU